GACGAGGGGUCCUAGCGUUGUUCGGAAUUACUGGGCGUAAAGCGCAUGUAGGCGGUUUGGUAAGUCAGAUGUGAAAGCCUUGGGCUCAACCUAAGAAGUGCAUUUGAUACUGCUGAACUUGAAUAUGGGAGAGGGUAGUAGAAUUCCUGGUGUAGUGGUGAAAUACGUAGAUAUCAGGAGGAAUACCGGUGGCGAAGGCGGCUACCUGGCCCAAUAUUGACGCUGAGAUGCGAAAGCGUGGGGAUCAAACAGG
rnacentral:rRNA from 1 species